rnacentral:rRNA from 1 species
CCUACGGGAGGCUGCAGUGAGGAAUAUUGGUCAAUGGGCGCGAGCCUGAACCAGCCAAGUCGCGUGAGGGAAGACGGUCCUAUGGAUUGUAAACCUCUUUUGUCGGGGAGCAAAAGACGCCGCUCGUGGCGUUCCGAGAGUACCCGAAGAAAGAGCAUCGGCUAACACCGUGCCAGCAGCCGCGGUAAUACGGAGGAUUCGAGCGUUAUCCGGGGUUCUUGGGUGUAAAGGGUGCUCAGGCGGAAGAUCAAGUCAGCGGUAAAAGUGAGAGGCUCAACCUCUUCGAGCCGUUGAAACUGGUUGUCUUGAGUGAGUGAGAGGUAUGUGGAAUGCGUGGUGUAGCAGUGAAAUGCAUAGAUAUUACGAAGAACUCCGAUUGCGAAGGCAGCAUACCGGCGCUCAACUGACGCUCAUGCACGAAAGUGUGGGUAUCGAACAGGAUUAGAUACCCGAGUAGUC